AUUGAACGCUGGCGGCAGGCCUAACACAUGCAAGUCGAGCGAGUGGCGGACGGGUGAGUAAUGUCUGGGGAACUGCCCGAUGGAGGGGGAUAACUACUGGAAACGGUAGCUAAUACCGCAUACCAUCGGAUGUGCCCAGAUGGGAUUAGCUUGUAGGUGGGGUAACGGCUCACCUAGGCGACGAUCCCUAGCUGGUCUGAGAGGAUGACCAGCCACACUGGAACUGAGACACGGUCCAGACUCCGACGGGAGGCAGCAGUGGGGAAUAUUGCACAAUGGGCGCAAGCCUGAUGCAGCCAUGCCGCGUGUAUGAAGAAGGCCUUCGGGUUGUAAAGUACUUUCAGCCAGGAGGCGUUACUCGCAGAAGAAGCACCGGCUAACGCCGUGCCAGCAGCCGCGGUAAUAC
rnacentral:rRNA from 1 species